UAGAGUUUUUUACAGUUGAAUCGUGGUCAGAUGAGCGUUGCUGACACGUCAACUCAUGCAAUCGAGCAGUAGCUCAGUCGAGCUUCUCUCGGGUGACGAGCGACGGACGGGUGAGUAAUGUCUCGGAUACUGUCUGAUAGAUGGGGGAUAACCUGCUGGAAACGGUAGAUAAUCUCGCAUAACUGUCAUCAAGAACAAAGAGGAGGACGUUCGGGCCUCUUGUCAUCAGAUGUGCCCAGAUGCGAUUAGCUAGUAGGUGGGGUAAUGGUUCACAUAGGCGACGAUCCUUAGCUGCUCUGAGAGGAUGUCCAGCCCCACUGGAACUGAGACACGGUCCAGAUUCUUACGGGAGGCACCAGUGGGGAAUAUUGCACAAUGGGCGCAAGCCUGAUGCAGCCAUGCCGCGUGUGUGAAGAAGGCCUUCGGUUUGUAAAGCACUUUCAGCGAGGAGGAAGGUGGCGAAAUUAAUACGUUCAUCAAUUGACGUUCCUUGCAGAAGAAGCACCGGUUAAUUCCGUGCCACCAGCCGCGGUAAUACGGAGGGGGCAAGCGUUAAUCGGAAUUUUUGGGGGUAAAGCGCCCCCAGGCGGUUUUUUAAUUCGGAUGUGAAAUCCCCGGGUUCACCCUGGGGGGUCCAUUGGAAACUGGCAAGUUAGAGUCUGGUGGAGGGGGGUGGAAUUCCAGGUGUACCGGUGAAAUGGGUAGAAAUUGGGAGGACUCCCGGUGGGGAAGGCGCCCUCUGGUCUGAAGACUGACGCUCAGGCGAAAAGCGGGGAGCAAACCAGAUUAGAUUCCCCUUAGUCCCACCGGUAACCGAUGUCGAUAAGGAGAGGGGCCCUUGAGGCCUUAGUGCCGCAGCUAACGCGAUAAGCCGUCCGCCCUGGGAGACGCA
rnacentral:rRNA from 1 species